rnacentral:hammerhead_ribozyme from 1 species
AUUCAGCUGACGAGUCUCAAACGGGACGAAACGCGCGUCCUGGAU